rnacentral:rRNA from 1 species
UACGUAGGUCCCUAGCGUUGUCCGGAUUUAUUGGGCGUAAAGCGAGCGCAGGUGGUUUAUUAAGUCUGGUGUAAAAGGCAGUGGCUCAACCAUUGUAUGCAUUGGAAACUGGUAGACUUGAGUGCAGGAGAGGAGAGUGGAAUUCCAUGUGUAGUGGUGAAAUGCGUAGAUAUAUGGAGGAACACCGGUGGCGAAAGCGGCUCUCUGGCCUGUAACUGACACUGAGGCUCGAAAGCGUGGGGAGCAAACAGG